rnacentral:tRNA from 13 species
UUAGCUCAGUUGGUUAGAGCGCCUGAUUGUGGAUCAGGAGGUCCCCCGUUCGAG